UUAGAAGAGGUGAUUUAAGAUUUGACACUUCUGCUUUAUUCAGCCAAAGGAACCCAAGCGCAGGUGUUCUCAGAGAAGACCAAAAAUCAAUCAUAUAUUUGGGAUUUAGCUGCUUCAAAUAGAGGUCAACUGAAGAAGAGCUGGCUUGGUAUUAAAGAUAAUCUACAAUGUCAAGAGUCAAGAGUGACACUGGAAUUAGUCUGGAGAUGCUGAGCACAGCAGUGUGAGGAGGACUGCACACACCUUGUGAUCAGUGCUUCCUGUCAAACACUUGCAGCACAUUUUGGAGUUGAUAGCAGUGGUUUGCCUUGUGUGCUUUUCUUGAUGGAGGACUGUGGUUUCUAUCCACAGAAGAUCAGCACUCCCACCCAACCUGCUGCUGCCUGCAAACUGACUGAGGGUGCACUGCAUCCCCUCAUCCAGGUAGUGGACAAAGUUAUUAAACAGGAUUGGCCCCUGAACUGAGCCUUGGGGAACAUCACUAGUGGCCAGUUGGCAGCUGGAUGUGACUGCAUUUACAGCACCCUGGGCCUGGCCAUCCAGGCAGUUUUUACCAUCCAUAGUGCCAUGAAAGAAGCACAACAUCAAAGGUAUACUUAUUAGUAGGAUUCUCAAAGCAGAAACCGCAUCCAUGAAUAUAGAGUACUGGAAAUUUUUCUAAACUUUUGUUUUUGCUUUCUCUAGAAACUUAAGAGGGGUGAAGGCCUGCUAUAAUUGUAAGACAGGAAAUGUGUUUUCAUCUUGUUUUGCUGGGCAGAGAUAAAGCUAAAAAGGUGAAAUGGGGAGGUCUAAAUAACCUUUAUUUUCACCUAUAUCUUAAAUGAUUUUGGGAUGUAUUCUAUUAAAAAU